rnacentral:rRNA from 2 species
UAACACAUGCAAGCCGAGCGGUAUAGAUCUUUCGGGAUCUAGAGAGCGGCGUACGGGUGCGGAACACGUGUGCAACCUGCCUUUAUCUGGGGGAUAGCCUUUCGAAAGGGAGAUUAAUACCCCAUAAUAUAUCAGAUGGCAUCAUUUGAUAUUGAAAACUCCGGUGGAUAGAGAUGGGCACGCGCAAGAUUAGAUAGUUGGUGAGGUAACGGCUCACCAAGUCUACGAUCUUUAGGGGGCCUGAGAGGGUGAUCCCCCACACUGGUACUGAGACACGGACCAGACUCCUACGGGAGGCAGCAGUGAGGAAUAUUGGACAAUGGGUGAGAGCCUGAUCCAGCCAUCCCGCGUGAAGGACGACGGCCCUAUGGGUUGUAAACUUCUUUUGUAUAGGGAUAAACCUACCCUCGUGAGGGUAGCUGAAGGUACUAUACGAAUAAGCACCGGCUAACUCCGUGCCAGCAGCCGCGGUAAUACGGAGGGUGCAAGCGUUAUCCGGAUUUAUUGGGUUUAAAGGGUCCGUAGGCGGAUGUGUAAGUCAGUGGUGAAAUCUCACAGCUUAACUGUGAAACUGCCAUUGAUACUGCAUGUCUUGAGUGUUGUUGAAGUAGCUGGAAUAAGUAGUGUAGCGGUGAAAUGCAUAGAUAUUACUUAGAACACCAAUUGCGAAGGCAGGUUACUAAGCAACAACUGACGCUGAUGGACGAAAGCGUGGGGAGCGAACAGGAUUAGAUACCCUGGUAGUCCACGCCGUAAACGAUGCUAACUCGUUUUUGGGCUUUCGGGUUCAGAGACUAAGC